GACGAACGCUGGCGGCGUGCUUAACACAUGCAAGUCGAACGGAAAGGCCCCUUUGGGGGUACUCGAGUGGCGAACGGGUGAGUAACACGUGAGUAACCUGCCCUUGACUUCGGGAUAACGUCAGGAAACUGGGGCUAAUACCGGAUAGGAAUCCUUUCUUCAUGGUGGUGGUUGGAAAGCUUCGGCGGUUUUGGAUGGACUGGCGGCUUAUCAGCUUGUUGGUGGGGUAGUGGCUUACCAAGGCGUUGACGGGUAGCCGGACUGAGAGGGCGACCGGCCACAUUGGGACUGAGAUACGGCACAGACUCCUACGGGAGGGAGCAGUGGGGAAUAUUGCACAAUGGGCGGAAGCCUGAUGCAGAAACGCCGCGUGCGGGAUGACGGCCUUCGGGUUGUAAAACGCUUUCAGCAGGGGCGAAGCUUGUGGUGACGGUACCUGCAGAAGAAGCACCGGCUAACUACGUG
rnacentral:rRNA from 1 species